UCGGGAAUUUUGUGCAAUGGGCGAAAGCCUGACACAGCAACGCCGCGUGAAGGAUGAAGUCCCUCGGGAUGUAAACUUCGUAAGAAUAGGAAGAAUAAAUGACGGUACUAUUUGUAAGGUCCGGCUAACUACGUGCCAGCAGCCGCGGUAAUACGUAGGGACCAAGCGUUGUUCGGAUUUACUGGGCGUAAAGGGUGCGUAGGCGGCAUAUCAAGUCACUUGUGAAAUCUCCGGGCUUAACUCGGAACGGUCAGAUGAUACUGCUUUGCUAGAGUGCAGAAGGGGCAAUCGGAAUUCUUGGUGUAGCGGUGAAAUGCGUAGAUAUCAAGAGGAACACCUGAGGUGAAGACGGGUUGCUGGGCUGACACUGACGCUGAGGCGCGAAAGCCAGGGGAGCAAACGGGAUUAGAUACCCCCGUAGUCCCUGAGCGGGCUGGCAAGGCGCAU
rnacentral:rRNA from 1 species